CAUCUCUUUCUUCCGAUAAACACGAAUCCGCACCCCUAUUUCUCCUCUCGCGAUUUCUGGAAUUCGCAGAUCGUAUUUGGACACACCGGACAUAAGGCAUCAUUAUAUGGAUAAAGCAGAACCCAAGAAGGAACUCAGUGAGGAUUCGACUCGUGAAUCAUUGAUUGCGCUCUCUUAUAGAGUACCUGAGAACGAACAACCUGCUGCAGCGUCUCCUAAAAAUACCAGUGGCGAGAACGGUUGUGGCAGCCCACACUUUGAUGGAAAAGAGAAGCUUAGGACUGAGCUGAUUUCCAUCUCCUAUUCAUCGUCACCCGAUAUGGAAGUCCGGCCGCUGUCACCUGUGGAGUUUGAUGGUUAACGUUCGCUACAGCUUCAACCGCCAAAAGUUGCAAACAACUUUUCUUCUGUGUGAUUUUCUAUGUAAUAAUGAUUUGUGUUGCAAAACUUGUAACAUCAACAGCUCUUUUGUUCAAUAGAGUGAACAUGUUGUGGAUACUUGUAUUUUAACCCCCUUUUUAUACAGUCAUUAUUAGAACUGAA